rnacentral:lncRNA from 1 species
UUCUGACAUUGGGCUUGAUAUGGUCAUGGUUUCUGCAAUACUUUGGGCUUCUUUUGCUACCCUGACCCAACUCCCAAGUGACAAUCCUAAUUUUGCAAUUGAUUUGAUUUCGUUGCAAUUUGGGGUGAAAACGAACCCUAAUUUUGCUCAAGUCCACUGAUUGAUCGUCGUGGUAAAGUUUGGAUUUUUACUUGGUUAUUGUUCACGAACUUUAGGAAUUCGUUUUCUCUGUAAUCGAGCUAAAAUUUCAAUUUUCCUGGUUUUUUUUUUUAUUAUUAUUUUAUGUUUGCAGGUUCAAUCUUCUCAGUUUCAUCAUCAUCACUGCUUUUUUUUCAAUGUGAAAGUUAUACAACGAAAAAGAAAAAAAGGCUGCACAUUUAUUCAAGUAAGUUUUCAUGAUCUUGGGUCUAUUGUCAAUUCAUCAAACAAGCCUAUUGGUAGUUGAAAUGUUGUAUUUGUAAUGAGAAGUUUAAUAAUGCUGAGUUGCGUUUUCAACAUGUUAAUGUAGUAUGUUCUUAAACAAAAUUUUCCCUCAACAUUGUUUAAUUUUGCCUAAACUGUGUGUACUGUAUGUAGUGCUGGAACAUGGAAAUCGAUUGAUAUUUCUGCUUCAAUGCUGCUACUAUAAUAAUUUAUGUUGAUUCACAUUUAAUAAGAGAAAAAAUAUAUUGUGUCUUUUUUGUUUAUGACUGCUUGAGUUUAAUUGAAAGCUGAAAGUUGUGCUGAUAUAGUAUGCCAAUUAGGCCAAAUGUUGUGAGUUAUCUACACCACUGUGUAUGAUCUUAUUAUCCUCAGUGAUAUUGGAGAUUUAGGAACCUUUUUUUUUAAUGAAUAAGCAUGUAAGAGACGCAAUGUGGCUAAUCCAGAACACCGUACUGUACAACUGUUAUGAAUUUCGAGUAUCAACAUGGUUUAAUGAGUCAAAUUGUGUGGUAGUCAUUGUUUAUGGGUAUGGGAGUUGAUUCUACUGUAUUGCAGUUUUUGUGAGAGAAAGAUGUUUAUAUAUGUUGUGUCCAGUGACUCAUACACAGCACGAUGCAGUAGAAUUCAUAACGAGACAGUUUGUUUUUUGUUGUAAGAAA